rnacentral:piRNA from 1 species
UGUUACCACUGAUUGUGGCCUCUGCCCAUU